rnacentral:rRNA from 1 species
AUUGAACGCUGGCGGCAGGCCUAACACAUGCAAGUCGAACGGUAGCACAGAGGAGCUUGCUCCUUGGGUGACGAGUGGCGGACGGGUGAGUAAUGUCUGGGAAACUGCCUGAUGGAGGGGGAUAACUACUGGAAACGGUAGCUAAUACCGCAUAAUGUCGCAAGACCAAAGAGGGGGACCUUCGGGCCUCUUGCCAUCAGAUGUGCCCAGAUGGGAUUAGCUAGUAGGUGGGGUAAUGGCUCACCUAGGCGACGAUCCCUAGCUGGUCUGAGGGGAUGACCAGCCACACUGGAACUGAGACACGGUCCAGACUCCUACGGGAGGCAGCAGUGGGGAAUAUUGCACAAUGGGCGCAAGCCUGAUGCAGCCAUGCCGCGUGUAUGAAGAAGGCCUUCGGGUUGUAAAGUACUUUCAGCGGGGAGGAAGGCGAUACGGUUAAUAACCGUGUCGAUUGACGUUACCCGCAGAAGAAGCACCGGCUAACUCCGUGCCAGCAGCCGCAGUAA